AACGAACGCUGGCGGCAGGCUUAACACAUGCAAGUCGAGCGCCCCGCAAGGGGAGCGGCAGACGGGUGAGUAACGCGUGGGAAUCUACCCAUCUCUACGGAAUAACGCAUGGAAACGUGUGCUAAUACCGUAUACGUCCUUCGGGAGAAAGAUUUAUCGGAGAUGGAUGAGCCCGCGUUGGAUUAGCUAGUUGGUGGGGUAAAGGCCUACCAAGGCGACGAACCAUAGCUGGUCUGAGAGGAUGAUCAGCCACACUGGGACUGAGACACGGCCCAGACUCCUACGGGAGGCAGCAGUGGGGAAUAUUGGACAAUGGGCGCAAGCCUGAUCCAGCCAUGCCGCGUGAGUGAUGAAGGCCCUAGGGUUGUAAAGCUCUUUCACCGGUGAAGAUAAUGACGGUAACCGGAGAAGAAGCCCCGGCUAACUUCGUGCCAGCAGCUGCCGUAAAAC
rnacentral:rRNA from 1 species